GUUAUUCGAAGUUGAACUUAGUUUGCUAAUUUGAUAGAAAAAUGUAGCAUUGAUACUUCCUUACUUUCCCAACGUCUCCACAACGUCACAGGCAUAAGGAAUUCGUAAAAAUACGGUCUAAUCUGUACCAAAAUAGUGGGGGAAGUUGAAAAGUCCCUUGAUGAAAAACUUGGAUUUGAGCACUAUUUAGGGGUUAUUUUGCUAAAAUGAUUGCAUAUUUAAGUUCUAGGAUACUCAAUCGACUCUUAUCUGCUGAAAUUCUGUUGAAAACGAGGGUUUUGGGACGAAGAUGCGCCAUGGUCGCUCCUGGAAUUUGUUCUAGAUGAAGGCCACUCUAGCACCCUUCAUC
rnacentral:lncRNA from 1 species